rnacentral:rRNA from 1 species
AACGAACGCUGGCGGCGUGGAUAAGACAUGCAAGUCGAACGGGUUUAGCCUGGUAGCAAUACUAGGUUGAGCCAGUGGCGAACGGGUGCGUAACACGUGAGUCAUCUGCCCGAAAGUGGGGGAUAGCUCGCCGAAAGGCGAAUUAAUACCGCAAGUGAUCCGGCGUACGCCGGAUUAAAGCCGGGGCAACUUGGCGCUUUCAGAUGAGCCCGCGGCCUAUCAGCUUGGUGGUAAGGUAAUGGCUUACCAAGGCUUCGACGGGUAGCUGGUCUGAGAGGACGACCAGUCACACUGGAACUGAGACACGGUCCAGACACCUACGGGUGGCAGCAGUCGAGAAUUUUUCUCAAUGGGGGAAACCCUGAAGGAGCGACGCCGCGUGGAGGAUGAAGGCUUUCGGGUUGUAAACUCCUGUCAUUUGGGAACAAGGCCUUACGUUAACUGCGUGGAGGUUCGAUAGUACCAGAAGAGGAAGAGACGGCUAACUCUGUGCCAGCCGCCGCCGUAAAAC